rnacentral:rRNA from 1 species
GAAACUGCCUGAUGGAGGGGGAUAACUACUGGAAACGGUAGCUAAUACCGCAUAAUGUCGCAAGACCAAAGAGGGGGACCUUCGGGCCUCUUGCCAUCAGAUGUGCCCAGAUGGGAUUAGCUAGUAGGUGGGGUAACGGCUCACCUAGGCGACGAUCCCUAGCUGGUCUGAGAGGAUGACCAGCCACACUGGAACUGAGACACGGUCCAGACUCCUACGGGAGGCAGCAGUGGGGAAUAUUGCACAAUGGGCGCAAGCCUGAUGCAGCCAUGCCGCGUGUAUGAAGAAGGCCUUCGGGUUGUAAAGUACUUUCAGCGGGGAGGAAGGUGUUGUGGUUAAUAACCGCAGCAAUUGACGUUACCCGCAGAAGAAGCACCGGCUAACUCCGUGCCAGCAGCCGCGGUAAUACGGAGGGUGCAAGCGUUAAUCGGAAUUACUGGGCGUAAAGCGCACGCAGGCGGUCUGUCAAGUCGGAUGUGAAAUCCCCGGGCUCAACCUGGGAACUGCAUUCGAAACUGGCAGGCUGGAGUCUUGUAGAGGGGGGUAGAAUUCCAGGUGUAGCGGUGAAAUGCGUAGAGAUCUGGAGGAAUACCGGUGGC